rnacentral:misc_RNA from 1 species
GCGGAAUUGACGGCUUCAGCAGUGAUUCCAUUGCAGCGAACGGACUUAGAGGAGAUUAAAGAAGGAUUAGCGGGUCGGACCAAGGUCGAGUAGCUCCGGAGCUCCUCCAGCUUCCUGGAGCAUACAAGGAUGGCUCCGAAUUCCAGUAUCGCAAAACCCUGACCGGGCCGGGUGGGAACCGUCGUUUCGAGGUCGAAGAAGACAAUCUCGGAUCUAUCCUCGCUUAGCUCAGAACCCAUCAUCCUCCGGUAUCUUCG